UACGGGAGGUGCAAGCGUUGUCCGGAAUCACUGGGCGUAAAGGGCGCGUAGGCGGCUCGGUAAGUAGGGGUGAAAUCCUGCGGCUCAACCGCAGGGCUGCCUUCUAAACUGUCGAGCUCGAGCACGGUAGAGGCAGAUGGAAUUCCCGGUGUAGCGGUGGAAUGCGUAGAGAUCGGGAAGAACAUCAGUGGACGAAGGCGGUCUGCUGGGCCGGUUGCUGACGCUGAGGCGCGACAGCGUGGGGAGCAAACAGG
rnacentral:rRNA from 1 species